rnacentral:rRNA from 1 species
UACUAGAGUAGCACUUGCAUAUCAAUAAGCGGAGGAAAAGAAACUAACAAGGAUUCCCCUAGUAACGGCGAGUGAAGCGGGAAGAGCUCAAAUUUGAAAUCUUAAAGGGUUUCCCUUUACGAAUUGUAGUUUAAAGAAGUGUUUUCUGUUGAGGUUUUGGUAAAAGUUCUUUGGAAUAGGACAUCAUAGAGGGUGAGAAUCCCGUAUUUGACCUUUACUUUCAACUUUGUGAUACACUUUCAAAGAGUCGGAUUGUUUGGGAAUGCAGUCCAAAAUGGGUGGUAAAUUUCAUCUAAAGCUAAAUAUUGGCGAGAGACCGAUAGCGAACAAGUACCGUGAGGGAAAGAUGAAAAGAACUUUGAAAAGAGAGUUAAACAGUACGUGAAAUUGUCAAAAGGGAAGCGUUUGACACCAGUGUUGUUUUUCUGAAAAUCAAUUAAAGAACUGUUUAUGCUAAGCUGUUUAGACUUUAUCAGCUAUCUGUUUAGUUUUGAGCUUUUCUUCAAUGCACUUUUCAGUUAACAAGUCAACAUCAAUUUCUUUUGCUGUAAAAAAGCUUGAGGAAGGUGGCUUGAGAUUCGUCUUAAGUGUUUAUAGCCUCUUGCCUAUGCAGUCGGAGAGAUUGAGGUCUGCAGCGUAGAUCCUUCGGGGCUAAAUGCAUUUGUGCUAAGUUAUAGCAUUUUAUAGACAACUUGUUGACUAUGAUUUGUCUUGUAGCUUACUCGCUUAUGUUAUUUUACCUACGCUUAGGAUGUUGAGCGCAUGUCUCUCUCU